UUUCAGAUAAACUGGUGUGGUUAACAGUGGUGCUUUGGAUGUGUAUGUCAGAUGAGGAUGCAGAAAGUUCAAGUAAAAAGAGAUCAGCUGGUAUGGUUAACAGUGGAUCUCUGGAUGUCUUUGCCAGGUAUGUUUGUGCUGAAAUAGUUUCAUUGGUUAUUCAUUAAAUAGAAUUAAAACUU